CAGCCGUAAACUAUGCGCGUUAGGUGUAUCGGUGACCACGAGUUACCGAGGUGCCGAAGGGAAACCGUGAAACGUGCCGCCUGGGAAGUACGGUCGCAAGGCUGAAACUUAAAGGAAUUGGCGGGGGAGCACCCCAACCAAGGUGGGAGCCUCGCGGUUUAAUUUGGACGUCAACGCCGGGAAGCUCACCGGAUAGGACAGCAGAAUGAUUGCCGGGCUGAAGACCCUGCAUGACUAGCUGAGAGGAGGUGCAUGGCGUCAGUGACU
rnacentral:rRNA from 1 species